ensembl:lncRNA
CUGCACUGUCACUGCCCACAAACUUUUCCAAAGUGCAGAAAACCACUGUUUCUUAAUUGCCUCAGCAGACUAUGAAUUACACUAAUUGGGGCACCAGCAAGCAGAAAAUGGAUAAUAAAUACAAAGUGCUCAUUGUGGACCGAGAGCAGAGUGCCAUCCACUGCCGCCCUGUGCUGCUGAAGCUGUGCUGCAUGGCACACUGUACCUGCAGCCCACUUCUCUGGGAGCUGCAGAACACGUAGUGGGCAAUGAGAAACAUUUUAAACAACUUAUUGCACUUCUACUGUUACACGGCAUGGAAAGCAGCCUGCUUAGUGAGGAGAUGCAGGCAGUGAAGGAGGAGAUAUAUUUCCAUUUUAAUAUGAGCUCUUCUCAAGGUGAAUUAAUAGAGGUUUCUUACAAUGACCUAAACAGAACUUCAAUUUCUCAUGCCUGUAAGCACUCUGCAUUUUUUAUAAUUCAUCCAGGUUUGUUAUGGGGACGUCAGCUGGACCACAAAGCAAACACUUUGUGAGGUGCUCACCUGCAAUUUCACCACAAACAGGAGAGGUCCUGGAGCGAACCGAUGGCAUUGGGAGUUUGCUCCUGGCCAGCCCAGAUUGCCUCCAUCUACCAAACCUCAUCCCAGUGGUCUCUCCUGAAGCUCAUGUUUGCCACCCAUGGAGCCACAGCCUGCUGAAGACACUUUGGUAUGGCAUUAUGCAUCCCAUCAUCAGGAAUAAUAAAUGGACAUCACUGUGCUUGGAUUACACAGCUUGAGCUGAAGGACCAGGCCCUGGUGUGGAGAGGUGGCUGCUCCCCUCUUCAGCUGCUGCCUGAUUUCUGGGUUAGAGCAGAGCUGUGAUUGUUCCUGACACUGCAAUUACAUGUGUUGUGGGGACGAAGCCAAGGCUGCCCUGGGAGCAGAGAUGCUCUGUUGGCCUCACAGUGCUCAUCCAGAUUCCUCCUGUGUCCAGUGUGUAUGAAUCCCAUCCAUUUCUGGAUGUUUUUACUAACAACACCCAGGGGUUGGUUGCAUUUCCAUCCAGAAAUCUGGAGCUCUCCUGUAGCAGCACAGUGGGACACAGAGCAACACAUGCACUGCGACCUGCUCUCAGCUCUGAUGGGAAACAGAAGCUGCAGUCUGAUGGCUUUGGUCCUGGUGCUUCCCAUUGGGCUAUGUAGGCAGCAGCCCCUGUUUCACAUCUAUGGGAGAGGAGCAGCUCCUGCACACCCGGGGCAGCCUCCUGCCCACUCCUGCUGCUGCUCUGCCCUCACACUCUGCACUGCCAGCUUCACUCUGCCCUGUGCCUUUGGCACUUGUAGUCCUUGCAGGCACGGGGCUGCUCUCAGCGGUGGAGCCUCUGCCAACAAAUUCUGGGGAUCCUUAGUGGGGGUAGGAGCUGAAAUUCCGACACAGAGAGCCUGACCCAGCCCAAGCCCUGCAGCUUUCUUAGGGCCAGCUGCUCUUUUCUUCUGGUGGGGGUUUCUUCCUGCUCAGUUCCACAUCGCUUCCUCCAAAGUGCCCUUGGGGAUGUUGGCUGCUCCCUCUGAUGCUUCCAACAGGCCGCAGGAGGGCUGUGCUAAUGCAUGCCUGAGACCAGCACGUACAUCUCUUUCUCCUCACACUGCAAAUGUUUCCCCACUUUUGCUGUUGUAGGAAUUUACAUUUAUGUUCUUGUAAAGUCAUAGAAUCGUUAAGGUUGGAAAAGACCUCCAAGAUCACCUCUAAAACUUUGAAGCCUAACCCCAGCCCACCCCCACCAUGCCUACUGCCCAGGUCCCACCUGUGUGGUUGCUCCAUACGUCCCCUUUGCUACACAGGGCUGGGCAAAGGGAGAGCAGAAUUUGUGCUUCCAAGUUGCACCUCAGCAAAUCAACCCAUGUGCUGUGCAGGCGAGGAGCGGGCAGUCAGUGCCCAGGGGUGCAGAGAGCUCAGGGGUUGGAGCCCUGGGAGCAGUGUGUCCUGCAUGGAGUGCUUGGGCAGUCCCAGUGAGCAUCACUCUGGCCCUGAGUCCCUACAGGCACUCAGCCCUUGCUGGGCACGCUGCUGCCAGGUCACAUAGUGAGAAACAGCUCUUCUUGCGGCAAUGAAUGCACUCAGCAGUGAUAUGAAAUAUCCUGAACAAGCACAGCAAGGCACGCACCUGCACGCAAGAUAAAGCUGAGGCAAGAGAUGACAAAGAUGAACACAACCCAGAAGAUAUUUCUUAUUAAACAGUUGCCUGCCUGAUUUGUUUCCUGCAUUAGUGAUGACGCAUGGCUGCUAUUCACAUUAAUAGGCAGCCAUAAAGUAUUUUUGUCAGCUGAGUUUUACCUGGAGUUAAAUAAAAUAUUACUGUUU